GACGAACGCUGGCGGCGUGCUUAACACAUGCAAGUCGAACGGAAAGGCCCUGCUUUUGUGGGGUGCUCGAGUGGCGAACGGGUGAGUAACACGUGAGUAACCUGCCCUUGACUUUGGGAUAACUUCAGGAAACUGGGGCUAAUACCGGAUAGGAGCUCCUGCUGCAUGGUGGGGGUUGGAAAGUUUCGGCGGUUGGGGAUGGACUCGCGGCUUAUCAGCUUGUUGGUGGGGUAGUGGCGUACCAAGGCUUUGACGGGUAGCCGGCCUGAGAGGGUGACCGGCCACAUUGGGACUGAGAGACGGCCCAGAAUCCUACGGGAGGCAGCAGUGGGGAAUAUUGCACAAUGGGCGGAAGCCUGAUGCAGCAACGCCGCGUGCGGGAUGACGGCCUUCGGGUUGUGAACCGCUUUCGCCUGUGACGAGGCGUGAGUGACGGUAAUGGGUAAAGAAGCACCGGCUAACUACGUG
rnacentral:rRNA from 1 species